CGAGUUUCGAAAAAAAGACAAAAAUGGAGGAUUCUGCGAAGAUUACAAAGAAAACGGAACCAUCACUUAUUUGGAAACGUACGUGGCUGCACAAGAAAUAAAAUCUGAAACAAAUUAGAAUUACACACAAAAUGUGAUCGUCGUGUGAUCGACAAUCUCUGGUUGUCCUGGCUUUCCAUGCUCUCCACUAUCCAGGCUGUUUGGCGGGAAAAUGUAACUAAGAAUAGAAAUGAUUGUAGAAGUUUUUAAGAGAGAUUUGAGCUAAACAAAUUUCAAAAUUGUGGAAAUUUUAAUUCCUGAGAAUAGCAUUUAUAUCAUGUUUUAGGCCAGAGCCAGCCAUCGUAACAAGAUAUUCAAGGUUUUCCUGUGCUGCUAUUGACCUGUCGUCACAUUAAUCUCAGGGUCAUCACUUGGAUAAACAGCAUCCAGUUCCAUUGGAGAAACUACCCAGAUGUCAAUUAAGUUAUAGAUCCCUUCUUCCCCUUUUCUUUAAAUGUCCUCGUGUACGCCCAUGCGAGUGUGGGUGUAUUCACGAGGACACCCUUUCAAUUCCCUAUCCCGUCUGGUGUGUAAUUCAACUCUUCAGCUGAUGGAUGGACUUGUCAAUGGAUGUCUGGCCGUACUUUCCAGUAAUAAAGGUUUUUUCUCUCCAUUCUAUUCCCACCGCGAGCGAUUGGCUAUAAACUGUGCCGCAUUGAAGGCCAAGGGAAGACGACACACCUGUUUGUCGGCUGGCCGGCAUUCCAAUCGUCCAACAAAUCAAUAAAGGCGGACCGGCCUACACACGUAUGUAAUGGGCGACAAACAUUUCCCUUGGAGACCUGUACACCUAUAUGCGUUUCCGACGACGCCUUGUGUGUGUUUGUUUGCUGCUGGAGGAUUCCGUCGACCAUCAGCAAGAGAAACCCGGCAUCAACUCGGCUGUAUGUACGUAUUUUCAAGAGUUUUUUUGGUUGUCCAUCGGAGCGUGAAUACAUCGGCCAGGCACAUCAGCG